rnacentral:rRNA from 1 species
UACGUAGGGGGCUAGCGUUGUCCGGAAUCAUUGGGCGUAAAGAGCUCGUAGGCGGUUUGUUGCGUCGGCCGUGAAAACCUGCAGCUUAACUGUGGGCCUGCGGUCGAUACGGGCAGACUUGAGUUCGGUAGGGGAGACUGGAAUUCCUGGUGUAGCGGUGAAAUGCGCAGAUAUCAGGAGGAACACCGGUGGCGAAGGCGGAUCUCUGGGCCGUAACUGACGCUGAGGAGCGAAAGCAUGGGGAGCGAACAGG